rnacentral:rRNA from 1 species
UACGGAGGGUGCAAGCGUUAAUCGGAAUUACUGGGCGUAAAGCGUGCGCAGGCGGUUUGUUAAGUCCGCUGUGAAAUCCCCGAGCUCAACUUGGGAAUUGCAGUGGAUACUGGCAAGCUGGAGUAUGGAAGAGGAAGGUGGAAUUCCCGGUGUAGCAGUGAAAUGCGUAGAGAUCGGGAGGAACACCAGUGGCGAAGGCGGCCUUCUGGACCAAUACUGACGCUCAUGCACGAAAGCGUGGGGAGCAAACAGG